GUGAGCCAGUACAGGAUGGACCCGCGUCUGAUUAGCUAGUUGGUAAGGUAACGGCUUACCAAGGCGACGAUCAGUAGCCGACCUGAGAGGGUGAUCGGCCACAUUGGAACUGAGACACGGUCCAAACUCCUACGGGAGGCAGCAGUGGGGAAUAUUGCACAAUGGGCGAAAGCCUGAUGCAGCAACGCCGCGUGAGGGAUGAAGGCCUUCGGGUCGUAAAACUCUGUCCUCAAGGAAGAUAAUGACGGGACUUGAGGAGGAAGCCCCGGCUAACUACGUGCCAGCAGCCGCGGUAAUACGUAGGGGGCUAGCGUUAUCCGGAUUUACUGGGCGUAAAGGGUGCGUAGGCGGUCUUUCAAGUCAGGAGUGAAAGGCU
rnacentral:rRNA from 1 species